UAUUGUUUGUCUAGGAAUCGAGGUGGAAUUCCUAUGGAUACCAGCUCAUUCAGGGGUGGGGGUGCAAGGGAAUGAAAGGGUGGACUAUCUUGGGAAACAGGGAUUAAAAGCCAAGUGGAAUCACCGAUUUCAGCAUCACAACAACGACGAGCUAAUAUCUCUUGCGUUCCCUGUACAAAGCGUGGCUGGAAAAUAUAAGCAUCUUAUUAAAAUAACAACAAGCAUGUCGUUUAAAAAUAGCUUUAAAUACAUAACGUUUGUCAAGUGUGUUUACCAGUAAAAUAAGACAGAAAGAAACCACUGCAUGGCAACGUAUGCUAUUAAUUCCGUUUCAAACCCAAGAGUGUAACCUAUAUAAGCCUUCAAAUCGUAUCCGAUGUUCCAAUAGUUUGAAUGCAGCGCCAGUGACGAGUCAUGGGACCAAUAGCAACAUAUGGAACCAGACAGCUGACUACAGGAUACAUGAAAAAAAAAUGACGCUAAUAUUUUUCUCAGCAACUUUUCGAGCGUUUGUUUGAAGUAUAAGACUCAGCGCUCCAGAGAUAAAAUCACCAGAUAAUUCAAGCCGUGCUCCCUGAAGAGCACAAUGGAUCCACGGAGCACGUCCACUGAGAAAAGUAAUCAAAGACCUCCGACUCACCUCGACGUGCCGCUGCUAUCCUUCAUGUGCAUUCAGCUGCUGUUUUGUUCUUCAUUCACUUCGGCCCUCCUUCCCAGCCAUCUGAGUGACAGCGUGCUGUUUGUUCCUGAUCAUGAAACACAGUGCGCGCCAGAGGGACGGCACCAUCACCGUCACCCCCAGUCAGAUGGGGCACUCACUUUGCUCCCAUGAUGUGUUUGCUUGAAGCUGAGCUGAGAGGGGCCGCUACAACAUGACAAAAAAAAUGAUGACUAAAUCCUGAAGGAGAGUUCACUCUGCAGGUUUGAGAGCCAGGGGUCUCGGCCUUUUUCAGAGAAAAGCUUGCAGCAGCUCCCAUCUGUCAUCAGCUCAGCGCCAAAUGAACCUGUGCUUUACUCUGGAGCCAACAAGAUGGAAUGAGCCACUUCAUCACGGCUGUAUGGGGGCACAGUGGAAGCGUUGCACUGCUUGCCUUUUUGACAGCCAGCCCUCCCCGACUGCGCCUCCCUAUGGUUACCAUCAGGGCAACAUAGUGUACUGCAAACUCACUAGCAGUACUACCACUGAGGUUGCAUAUACCUUUUAAUGAACAGUUAUUUACACUCACAUAAAAGAGAAGUGUUAAGAUUUAUUUUGUUAUGAAAGAUUAAAAAUUGUUUUUGUUUAUGAUUUACUUCUGCUUCAGUUACCAACUUCCUACAAGACACCUGCACAGAAAGUGCGAUUAUAUAAGCAAUAGCUUUUGUCAAAUCCCAGAUAAGAAAACACUGGUGAAUUCCAGUAUCUUCCUGAAAACUUUGUAUUUGGGUUUUAUGAACAAAUUUGUUCCUAAGAACAGUUGAUGACUGAGACCCAGUGUUGCAGCUUUUGACCUGCAGUUUGUACCUCAAUCCAUCAUCUCACCUUGUUUUGAAAACCCAGAAUAAAGCGCUUAUUGGCAAAUGCUG